rnacentral:piRNA from 1 species
UGAAAUCACUUUCCUGCUUCAUGGU